AACGAACGCUGGCGGCAUGCCUAACACAUGCAAGUCGAACGAGACCUUCGGGUCUAGUGGCGCACGGGUGCGUAACGCGUGGGAACCUGCCCUUAGGUUCGGAAUAACUCCCCGAAAGGGGUGCUAAUACCGGAUAAUGUCUUCGGACCAAAGAUUUAUCGCCUUUGGAUGGGCCCGCGUUGGAUUAGCUAGUUGGUAGGGUAAAAGCCUACCAAGGCGACGAUCCAUAGCUGGUCUGAGAGGAUGAUCAGCCACACUGGGACUGAGACACGGCCCAGACUCCUACGGGAGGCAGCAGUGGGGAAGAGUGGACAAUGGGCGAAAGACUGAUCCAGCAAUGCCGCGUGAGGGAUGAAGGCCUUAGGGGUGUAAAGCUCUUUUACCCGGGAUGAUAAUGACAGUAACGGGAGAAUAAGCACCGGCUAACCCCGUGC
rnacentral:rRNA from 1 species